UAUUCUUUAACUCUGCCUAGCCUCUUUUUGGUCAGCCUUUACAAGGCAUCAACUUCUUUGAGUAAUCUGUGCCAAGACCUCACAGAAAGGAAUUUUUCCCAAUGUAUCCUGUCCCCCGGGGCCCUUAUCCCACGUCCCUUCCCAGCUUUCUCAGAGCCCUUUCACGCACCAAAAUCCCGCACUUGGCUCACCCUGGAGCCUUUCCCUGCGCAGAUAAAACCCUCAGGAGGCGAUAAGGCCCCGCUCACGCCGUCAGGGACUCGCCCGUCCCUCAGCGAGCACCGCCCAACCGGCGCCUCAACGGCACCGCCCCAAGGCGGGGCCCAGCCCGCCCCGCCCGCGGCUCUUCCGCCCGGCCCACCCCAACACGGGGAGCUCCGCGAGCCGCGGGAAAAAAAAGGGGUAAAACCGCCGCGGAAUAAACGAGGGAGAACUGAGUUGCGCCGAGGCAAAGCAGCGGCCGCGGCCCGGCCGGGCCUGGCGGGAAAGCGCUCACCCGCCGCCAUCUUAACGGCGCCAAGGCCACGCCCCCGCGGCCGUGAGGCGCCCUCUGAUUGGCGGAGCGCGGGCUGCUCGCCGCGCGGGGCGCUCUCUGAUUGGAGGAGCGCGCCCCUUCCUUCCUCCCGCUCCUUGCAUCGGCAGCUCGGCGCUCGGCAGGCUCAGCCGCCGCCAUGGACCCCGCGCCCGGCCCGCAGGAGAAGUACCAGCUCAUCACGAGGAACCUGCAGGUACCGGGAGGCGGAUGGACGCGGGGCUGGGCCGCGGGGAGAGCGGCGGCACCGGGGAGGGGUGUCAGGGACCAGCGGGGCUGUGUCGGGGUCGGGCGGAGGAAUUGGGGCUGGGAGGGUUGGCUGAGGAUGGAUCGGGACCGCGACCGAGGCGGGGGCAGGAUGGAGUGCGGGUACCGGGGGGAUGCGGCGGGGUUGGGGUCCGAGAACGGGGNNNNNNNNNNUAAUUAUUAUUAACCAUCAUUAUAUAUUAUACAGAAUAUAUGAUCUAUGUUUUAUAUAGAAUAUACAUGUAUAUAUAAUAUACAUGUAUAUAUAUAUAAUAUAUAUACACAUA
rnacentral:lncRNA from 1 species